AUUGAACGCUGGCGGCAGGCUUAACACAUGCAAGUCGAGCGGAGCUGCGGACGGGUGAGUAAUGCCUAGGAAUCUGCCUGGUCGUGGUGGAUAACGUCCGGAUACGGGCGCUAAUCCCGCAUACUUUUAGAUGAGCCUAGGUCGGAUGAGCUAGUUGGUGGGGUAAAGGCCUGCCAAGGCUACGAUCCGUAACUGGUCUGCGAGGAUGAUCAGUCACACGGGAACUGAGAAACGGUCCAGACUCCUACGGGAGGAAGCAGUGGGGAAGAGUGGGCAAUGGGCGAAAGCCUGAUCCAGCCAUGCCGCGAGUGUGAAGGAGGGCUGAAGAUUGUAGAGCACUAUAAGUUGGGAGGCGUUACCAACAGAAUAAGCACCGGCUAACUUCGUGCCAGCCGCCGCGGUAAUUC
rnacentral:rRNA from 1 species